rnacentral:lncRNA from 1 species
GCUGGAGAGGCUGCCUCUGCCCCAGUGCCAGGUGCGCUGGAGAAAACAGGCAUGGGAGCACAGUAAGGAUCACGGCUGUCGCACAGGAGGCAUGCAGCUGACGGGACCUCCAGGGGCACAGGAUGGGGUCAGGAUAGGCGAGGACCUUUGGAUGGCAGGAGAUGGCAGAGCAUUGAGAAAGAACAGCUUCUGCGGAGCUGCGAGGGAAAAUAAAUAGAGCCAUUCGCCUUCAUCUCCUUGAGCUAGCUGUCAGACUAUAUCGACUAAUAUGGAGUCCGUCUAGUUGUGUAUGAGUCUGUGUGCAAUUGCAUGUGUGUAUUUGCAGCUUUGAUCCGGAAGCCUUCUAAAAAAGAAACUGAUGGUUGGCUGCCAUCAACACAUUUCCUUUCCUCCAGUUCUGUAUGAAACCAAGCCUGUGUGUCAAGGGUUCCCCUAAGUGUGGAGCUCCAGUUCCA